GUGUUGUUCCUGGUGCUAGUGGCUAUGCAGAUUAUUGUUACUAGGCAGUGGGCGGCUUCAGAAGAAAAUGUGAAAUCGAUUAAAGUUCGGAAAGCAGCACAAGAUCCGAGUUUACACACUCGGAGCCGAAGAGAUGGUCCAGAGAGCCAUCAUUUCGAGACAUAAGGAAAAAGCCAUCUGGACAUCUGACACCGCUCAGACCUGACGACAUGGAUACCGAAGGGGUCGUCUCAGUGGCAGUCGGACCUCCGCCCGUAAGACCCAAGUUCGAUCGAAGCAAGUCCAAUCGGAAGCCCACGAACAACACCGUCACCUCAAAAGUACCCACCAAUAACGCACUUGCCUUCGUAAAAGAUGUUCUCACGCAACUAGGAAGAGAGUUCCUCAACCACCAAGUAAAUGAAGACUUUGUUUUUGGACAAUAUGUUGGCAAUUCCAUGAAAAACCUAACGAGCCCUUUGAAACUAAAAAUGCAACAUGAAAUAUUAGAUAUAAUAGUUAAGUAUCAAAAACUCAAUACAGGUGAUAAAACCGUUGAGAAAGAUGAUAAAAACAAAUCGAAAGAAGACGAUAAGAGUUAUGGUCCCAGAUACAGGAAGGCAACCAAUGACACGGAAGAACCAUGGCCAGACUUUUCUAAUUUAGCGAAAAUAGUUGGUUAAGAGAAAUAGAUAUAAGAUUAAGUUAAGAGAUCUAAAUAUAAAUAGAAGACUAUCUAUCUUCGAAUUGCCAACGAUUACAAGAGUAAGAGUUGAAGACAACUGCUUCCGAGCUACGAUCAAUGCUUCAAUACCUUAGCAACGCAAGACUUCAGAUGAACAUUUCGAAGACCACGUUAAUGACUAAUAAUGGUACCGAGACUCC